UCCCAUAUGGUCUAGUGGUUAGGAUAUGGCGCUUUCACCGCCAAGGCCUGGGUUCAAUUCCCGGUGUGAGAA
rnacentral:tRNA from 1 species